rnacentral:rRNA from 1 species
UACGUAGGGUGCGAGCGUUGUCCGGAAUUAUUGGGCGUAAAGAGCUCGUAGGCGGCCUGUCGCGUCGAUUGUGAAAGCCCGGGGCUUAACCCCGGGUCUGCAGUCGAUACGGGCAGGCUAGAGUUCGGUAGGGGAGAUCGGAAUUCCUGGUGUAGCGGUGAAAUGCGCAGAUAUCAGGAGGAACACCGGUGGCGAAGGCGGAUCUCUGGGCCGAUACUGACGCUGAGACGCGAAAGCGUGGGGAGCGAACAGG